UAUAGGAGGUCAGCCUGCCAGUGACUACAAGUUCAACGGCCGCGGUAUUUUGACCGUGCAAAGGUAGCGCAAUCACUUGUCUUUUAAAUAGAGACCUGUAUGAAUGGCUAAACGAGGGCUUAACUGUCUCCCCUUUCCAGUCAGUGAAAUUGAUCUGCCCGUGCAGAAGCGGGCAUAAAAAUACAAGACGAGAAGACCCUUUGGAGCUUAAGGUACAAAACUCAACCACGUCAAGCGACUCAAUAUAAAAGCAAAAACUUUGUGGAAUAUGAGAUUUUACCUUCGGUUGGGGCGACCACGGAGGAAAACAAAGCCUCCAAGUGGAUUGGGACAAACCUCCUAAAACCAAGAGAGACAUCUCUAAGCCACAGAACAUCUGACCAAACAUGAUCCGGCUGCCCGAAGCCGAUCAACGAACCAAGUUACCCUAGGGAUAACAGCGCAAUCCUCUCCCAGAGUCCAUAUCGACGAGAGGGUUUACGACCUCGAUGUUGGAUCAGGACAUCCUAAUGGUGCAGCCGCUAUUAAGGGUUCGUUUGUUCAACGAUUAAAGUCCUACGUGAUCUGAG
rnacentral:rRNA from 1 species